GGCAGUCCUCACACUGCCCUGGGGUCCCAGACACCUCCCAGUGCUUGCUCACUUGGCAUGGAGUCUCUGGAGCACAGAAUAUGGGACCGUCUGAGACCCACUAGAACAUGAGUCAGGAAGGACGAGUCGUGGGUGAGACAACUUUUAUGGGUGAGGCCCUUUUGCAGCCUCUUGGUGUCCUGAGCCCUUGGCCAUCCUCACCAAGCCCUGCUGGCCCCAACUGGUGCUGCCUCAAUUGAGUUUUU
rnacentral:lncRNA from 1 species